UGGCUCAGAACGAACGCUGGCGGCGCGUUUAAGCAUGCAAGUCGAGCGGCAAGGGCCUUCGGGCCCCUAGAGCGGCGGACGGGUGAGUAACACGUGGACAAUCUGCCCCCCGGCCCGGGAUAGCCCAGGGAAACCUGGAUUAAUACCGGAUGAGACGGGACCCGCGAUGGCGGGACCCGGGAAAGGCGCUGCGGCGCCGCCGGGGGAUGAGUCUGCGUCCCAUUAGCUAGACGGCGGGGUAACGGCCCGCCGUGGCGACGAUGGGUAGCCGGCCUGAGAGGGUGGACGGCCACAUUGGAACUGAGACACGGUCCAGACUCCUACGGGAGGCAGCAGCUAAGAAUCUUCCGCAAUGGGCGAAAGCCCGACGGAAGCGACGCCGCGUGAACGAAGAAGGCCGUGAGGUUGUAAAGUUCUUUUCGGGAGGGGGAACAACCGUGGCAGGGAAUGGCCGCGGGAUGACGUGAAUCCCGGAAUAAGCCCCGGCUAACUACGUGCCAGCCGCCGC
rnacentral:rRNA from 1 species